rnacentral:rRNA from 1 species
UACGAAGGGGGCUAGCGUUGCUCGGAAUCACUGGGCGUAAAGCGCACGUAGGCGGAUCUUUAAGUCAGGGGUGAAAUCCUGGAGCUCAACUCCAGAACUGCCUUUGAUACUGAAGAUCUUGAGUUCGGGAGAGGUGAGUGGAACUGCGAGUGUAGAGGUGAAAUUCGUAGAUAUUCGCAAGAACACCAGUGGCGAAGGCGGCUCACUGGCCCGAUACUGACGCUGAGGCACGAAAGCGUGGGGAGCAAACAGGGA